GACGUAGGGGACGAGCGUUGUCCGGAUUUAUUGGGCGUAAAGCGCGCGCAGGCGGCCACGUAAGUCGGAUGUGAAAUCCCGGGGCUCAACCCCGGAACUGCAUUCGAUACUGCGUGGCUCGAGGUAGGUAGGGGAGAUCGGAAUUCCUGGUGUAGCGGUGGAAUGCGCAGAUAUCAGGAGGAGCACCGGUGGCGAAGGCGGAUCUCUGGGCCUUACCUGACGCUCAGGCGCGAAAGCUAGGGGAGCGAACAGG
rnacentral:rRNA from 1 species